AUUGAACGCUGGCGGCAGGCCUAACACAUGCAAGUCGAGCGAGCGGCGGACGGGUGAGAAAUGUAUGGGGACUGCCCGAUAGAGGGGGAUAACUACUGGAAACGGUAGCUAAUACCGCAUACUAUCGGAUAACCCAUAUGGGAUUAGCUAGGAGGUGAGGUAAUGGCUCACCUAGGCGACGAUCCCUAGCUGGUCUGAGAGGAUGAUCAGCCAGACGGGGACUGGGACACGGCCCAGACUCCUACGGAGGCAGCAGUGGGGAACAUUGGACAAUGGGCGCAAGCCUGAUGCAGCCAUGCCGCGUGGAUGAAGAGGGCCCUAGGGUUGUAAAGUUCUUUCAGUCGGGAGGCGUUACCGACAGAAGAAGCACCGGAUAACUCGGUGCCAGCAGCCGCGGUAAUAC
rnacentral:rRNA from 1 species